CUACAGACUUGAUUGUAUUGAGCCUUGGUAUGGAAACCUGCUAAGUGGUAACUUCAAAAUUCAGAGAAACCCUGGAAUUAAAAAAGGGAAAUCCUGAGCCAAAUCCGUGUUUUGAGAAAACAAGGGGUUCUCGAACUAGAAUACAAAGGAAAAGGAUAGGUGCAGAGACUCAAUGGAAGCUGUUCUAACGAAUCGAGUUAUUACGUUGUGUUGUUAGUGGAAUUCCUUCUAAUUCUAAAUUAGAG
rnacentral:ncRNA from 1 species